rnacentral:tRNA from 1 species
GAAAAGUGCCUGAAUAAAGGGCCACUUUGAUAGAGUGGAUUAUGAAUGUUAAACUCAUUCCUUUUCCUU